UCUAUAAUUAAAAAUGUGUGAUCUUCAAGCAAAACGAUAUCUUAGGAUAAACGCAGAAUAUCCAGUUACAUUUUACGACACCAUGAUUUAUAUAUUAUGAUGCAUGGGAGUGUGGGAAAUAUGUUAUAGUUAUUGUACAGUACUCUCUGUUGCAUGCAUCAAAAAGAAGACCUGCAUAUUUUGCCGGUGUUGUAUGCAUCACGUGUGUUUUAACCUGCUAAAAUAUCGUUUGGAGCAGCUUGUCUUAUUCCAAUAGACGGUAAGCACUUAUACAGGUUAUUGUUCAUGAAUGAUUAUGUUGUUUGUAUAAUUUAUAUACAUUUAAUAGGUAUGUAUGUUUCUUUUGAAACUUUACUCAAUAUUGAAACUCAGUUUAUUUAUUUCACUCUUUCAAAGUAUUCUUACUCAAAGGCUAUUUGUCCUUUUUAUUAGACUUCGAAUAUAAUAUCAAAUUACGUAUAUUGAGUAAAUUUACUCAGUCAUACACAUUCAUAGUGAUUGAAAGUAAACAUCUGUGUUGAUUGGUUACUAGCUAGUUGGGUUAAGGUGAGUAUUAUUUUGUCCAUGUCAGGUAGAUUUAUCUAUGAUAAUGAGCUGUGUAUAUCUAUCUAAAGUAUGUCUAAUGGUUUAUAUAGGAACCUAUGUUAACAGAUCAAUUUGGUAUUAUAUCUUAUCAGUUUUAGCUUUAUUGUUUUCUUGACAUGCAAUGGUACAAUGUAUAACAUGCUAAAGUUGAUGGUAUAACACGCUAGAUUUCUGAUGUAUACCAUGCCAAAGUGCGAUGGUGUAACACGCUAAACGUCAGUGGUGUUCAGGCAAUGGUUUUUGUUUUUGCUGUGUCCUAGAUCUAUAAGUUUUUCCUUUAUUGUUUGUUUAUAAUCACUUCGUUGCAUUUCUCUUUUGAGUUGUUUAACACUGUUCAUUGGGUGGCUCUAUAUAACUUGCUAUGCGGCGUACACCAAGGCUUCAAUUUAAAGGCCUUAUACGGUUAUAUAGUAACAUCAACGGCAUGUGGUCAUGGGUGGAUAGUUGUCUCAUUGACAAUUAUUCCACUGCCUCUUAUGGUAAAAUGUUAACAUUGCAAGACUGAUCAAGACAAGAUGAUUUAUAACAAUAUAUAUAUAUGGUGUAAUGGUGUUGCGUCCCUGACGAGGAAAGGUAACACACGGCCACCGAAAGCUUUAUUAUUGUGAAGCCCAGGUGGUCGUGUGGUCUAGCGGGACGGCUACAGUGCAGGCGAUUUGGUGUCACCAUAUCUCAGGUAGCAUGGGUUCGAAUCCCGGCGAGGGAAGAACAAAAAAUUUGCGAAAGCAAAUUUACAGAUCUAACAUUGUUGGGUCGAUGUUACGAGAGGUUCCAGAAGAGAGCACUCCUGCUCUCUUUGUGACAGAGGAAAAUAUACAUUUGACUGGCUGACCCUCCAUUCAUUCGCUGACUCCUGUAUGGGUCCAAAUUGAAAGUCUAUUCAUUUAACAUUACAAUUUAUAAAAUUUUGAAAAGAAUUGGGAAUUUACCUUUUUGAUAAGUUAAUAAGUUUAUAAGAACUAGUUUAUAAGAAUGCUAGCAAUUUCCUCUGUAUGUGUUUCUCCAUAAUCCCAGUCCAUUCAGUCCAUUCAGUGCCUCAUCUUGUUGUUUAAUUCAUAAUGAUGCUGAAUUGAAAUGUUGUUUGGCAAAUUUUGCGUUCAAGGAGCACAGAUCAAUCCGUAUCCAAAAGACAUUAUACAACAAACUUUAAAUUUUGGAUUACAACGUCUUUCUGAUACAUUUUUGAGAGAAAUCCUCAAACUUUUUAAACAUUGCAGUCUGUAAUCGUUCAAUCAUAAUGUAGAUAAAAUUAUUGUAAAGAAGAGUAGAUUGUUAUUAUAAGAUUGAAAGACGUUUUUGAAAAUUGCUCUAGUGUUUAGUUAAUACAAGAUAAUUUGGCUCUAUCUUAUUGAUCAACAUUUUUCAACACUUGUUAAGUACUGUUUCAGUGUAAAACUCCAGUUAAACUGCAAUUCUAUGCCAUGAUAUGUUAAUGUACCAUGAUAUUAUGGUUACAAGAGCGCAAAAAAUGUGUUUACAAACUUUGUACGGGUUCUGAUUGGAUGAUACAGGAUUGGAAUUACUUUUAAUCGAAAUUAAGUUUAAAAAAUCUAUAAAAUCAAAUUCACAUUUCACAAAGUAAAGAAAAAUAUCCUCUAUUUUUCACGUUGGAGCUUUUUUUUUAUUGUUGUGCAACACUGGCAUUUCUAGUAAAAUGAACUGAUUCACGUUUUUCCCUAGUUUUCGAGAAAUAAAACACGGAACACCGCUGGUACCCUUUGGAAAGAGCAUUACGAAUAGUUACGCUCUUGUAACCGUAAUAUAAUGUCUCUAUUUCGUAAGGGUACGACAAUGAUAGAUGAAAAUCGAUGGUUACUAAGUCCUGUGUGUGGACAGUUAUAUGACCUACGGUGUGUGUACAUUGUACAUAAAACUUCACUGAAGACUUGUAUAUUUAAUUUAAAUUACCCAUGACAUUUUAUUUAUAUUGUAUCAAUAUCAUAUUGACCCAAUCCAUUUAACAAUCGUUAUGAUACUGGAUAUGUGCCCUGCUUAUUUUAUCAAAAUGUAAGUUGAUACAGUUUAUCUGCAAGUAAUCGGAAUAUGACAUAUAUACAAUGGCAAGACGAUUUUCAUGACGUAUUCAUUAGGGUUAUAGUUUUGAGUGUAGGUAAUUUAUUUUUCAGUCUGAGUAAAGAAAAAGAUGAUACGGCUUAGUAAAAGACAUAAGUUUUUAGUUGUAAUGACAGGAUUUAUCAUCAUUUUUCUGAAAGUUUUAACACUGACCAGAAAUCCAGGUAUGUUAGAAUCUACAGAGUUAUAUGAAGACGAAACGUGCGUCUGGCGUGGCAAAUUAUAAGCCUGAUUUCUUUGAUGAUCUUGUAAAAGCUAUAACAUAUCUAAAACUUAUUUUACUUAAAUGAAUAACUUGUCAAAAACGUUCUUAAUGCCUUACUUAGUAUGUUUUACGAACAGUCAGAGCUCAAAAAACUUUUAUUUUUACUAAUUAACCCAGAAAUAAAAGUAUACUAGAUCAUGGACAUUUGGGGGUUACUUUAAAAGUGAUUGUAAAUGGGACCAUCGUGUUUUGAAUAUUUCAAAUAACAUAUCAAAAUGUUUAGUAUAAAAAAGAAGAUGUGGUAUGAUUACCAAUAAGACAACUGUCCACAAGAGACCAAAAUGACACCGACAUUAACAACUAUGGGUCACCGUACGGCCUUCAACAAUGAGCAAAGUCCAUACCGCAUAGUCAGCUAAUAAAGGCCCCGAUAAGACAAUGUAAAACAAUUCAAACGAGAAAACUAACGGCCUGAUUUAUAUAAAAAAAAAUGAAACGAAAAACUAAUAUGUAACACAUAAACAAACGACAACCACUGAAUUACAGGCUCCUGACUUGGGACAGGCACAUACAUAAAUAAUGUGGCGGGGUUAAACAUGUUAGCGGGAUCCCAACUAUCUGCCUAACAUGGGACAGUGGUAUAACAGUACAACAUAAGAAUGAACUAUAACAAUCAGUUGAAAAAGGCUUAACUCAUCAGAUGGACAAAAAUACAAGUGGACGUGGCCGGGUACUUGUACAUCUCGACAACAAAAAAGACACUAGGAACAAAUCUGAGAGUACUCGCAGUUAUCUGACAGCUAGUUCAAAGCCACUAACAACUAAUAAAAAAAUCAUGCAUCUAAAACUAAACCAUACUACUUUAAUAAAAAUAAUUAUUAUAAAAUCCCUUGUUUAAAUUUACAAGACCAUAUUGAUGCGACGUAUGGGAUUGACUCAUUGCUGGUUUCUUAACAUCCAGUGGCAAAUAUCUCAUGCAUUUUCAGGACGAGCCGGACGAGCCGUUACAUGACAAAAAUGAUGUGUUAGCAAUUCUGAACUGUUUGGGAAAAUUCAUCGUUAUGACUUUAAAAGAACUCUCUUUUAUUAUUGUAGCAGUGAAUUUUUAUACAUUGUAUAACCCUCUUAGCUUGGACAAUAUCCAGGCUUAUGGAGGUAGAACGUCAUUGUGAGAAAAACGCCGUUAACUAUAUGUGACUAGCCACUUCCAGGCUUAGGAGAAGACAUUGUCUAAAAUUUGCUUUUUGUAUAUUUAUCUAGAAUAUUCCGAAACAAAAUUCUCUCUCAUGUUAUUAUGCCAUAUUUGUUGUAAUAGCAAUGAAACGAGUCAUUUCGAAUACCGGUAUGAAAAUGAGACUGUUCUAUGACGACUUUUAUUUAUUAAAGGCACUAAUUUAUAAAAUACAAAAUUAUUUAUUUAUUGGCUCUAGUAAUGUUCAAUAGCGUAUUUGAAUAAAAUUUCAAAGACUUAAAUUUACUACAAUACAAACAAUUCUUAGCUCUAUUUUAAAACAUGUAAUUUAAACUUGUUGAAAUGAAGUUAGUUUAAAAUUUGUCAAAGUAAGCUUUAAAAAGUCCUUUUUUUAUAUUCGUCUUUUAAUUUAGAUUUAUCAUGCAUGUCUCCAAACAUAAAUGUAGAUUCAAAUAUUUUUCACUUCAAACGUUAAACUUCUUCAAAACUUAUAUAUGAUGUAUAGUUCGGCGUCCUGAUAAAAGAAGCCAAGGAAAGUAUGAUCUCUUCUUCACAAAUACGUAUUUCAUUGAAUCUCGAUAUUUAUCAUGUUUAUAAUUUUUCUAACAAUGACGUUCUACCCCCAUAAGCCUGCAAAUGUCAUGGCGGGUCACAUAUAUGAAGCACGGAUACUUUUUAAAUAUUUUGCUUUUUCUUCAAAAGAUGUAACCUGACUGACUAUAAAUGCAUCAAUCUCAAACAGAACAUUUAGGCACAUUAAGUGGGUUGAAUAAAAGUUUAGUGCAGUUGUACUUUUGGAUUUAACAGUUAUCUUUUAAUAUUUGGUCAACUGAAGUUUAAAAAAAACGUACACAGAGAUGUACUGUUUCAUUUUCAGAUCUGUCUCGGUCAGAAUAAUACCUGUUAAAAAAAUUCAGAAAUUUGUAAGAUAAUAAUAUCAGUAAAAAUGUACAGGUUGAAUUACCUCCACUCGGCAACCUCACUCGACUUCGUCUCGUCAUGUUAUUGCCGGGAGUUUCAACAAAAGUUAUGGUAUAAUUUACGAAACACGACAAAACUAUCCAAAAGAUAUGAAAUAUCUAUAACUUAGAUUUAUAUAAAAGAUCAUUUUACUGCAUCUGGUGAUAAUUUGUGUUAGUUUGUUUAUAAUUUGCUCAUUAUUUUGAAAAUACGAUGUAUACAACAAAAGUUUGAACCAUAUGGAAUGUGUGAACAUGACAGUUUCCGACUAUGUAACAAUGUUUGUGAAAAAUUAAACAUCCAAAUAAAUUUGAAAAUUGUAGGACAUCAAAUAUUGUCAAGUUACCCUCUCUUGCCGAUGGGUAUUUGCCUAAUGAUGUGUUAAUUCAGUUUAGAUGAAUUUAAUAUAAAGCUUUCUUUAGAAAAGUUUUAAAUUAAACAGAAUAAUAGUUACAUUGAUAUUAUGGUGACAGGCGUUCACUAAAUAAUAACGGCAAACAAGUAUUAGCAUAUGAAUGAUUUUUAACACAGUAGUUUGUGUAUAAAGUUUAUAAUACGUAACACGAUCAGACCAGAUGUCGUUGACAUCGAUUAGGAAAGAUGAUUCGACCAGUUGGGUUAGUGCGUGUAUUAGUCGUCAUUUCUGCUAUUUCAGCGAUUCUGCCGAUUCUUCUUGUAUUGAGGACACAAAGUUGUGAGUUUCAUUUUUACAAAAUUAUCUUUGGUUCAAUUAGAUACAUGUUAUAUUAUUUUCCCGAAUUAUUUAUAGUUCAUGGCUAUACUUUUUGUAUUAUGAUGUUUAGCAAACAACCUGUUCAAAUCAGUGUGGUCGCUGACAAUUGACUUUUAAAACAUGCUGAAUGUACAUUAUUUCUUUCUUUUGUGGGUGGUUGUUUCAAUGUAAAUUUGACUUAAAAAAGUCUUUUUGCAAUACAAAUACAUAUUGAUAUGUCAUUACAUAUUACAACAUUGUCAUCUUAUAUCUGCCUUGGUUUAAAAUUACUUAUAUAAAAAGGGCCAAUAUUGAGAUGUAACAGUUGUUGCAUUCGUUGCAUUCAGUCGUAGUCAUUAAUAUAACAGAAAAUGUGGUAACAAAAUAUUUUAUAUUUUCCACCAAACACACACCUUGAUCAUACUUCUUGAAAUAUGGAUUUGUAUGCCCCAUUUAUGGACAUUAUGUUUUCUGGUCUGUGCGUCCGUUCGUUCAUCCGUUGUACCGUCCGUUCGUUCGUCCGUUCGUUAGUCCGUCCCGCUUCAGGUUAAAGUUUUUGGAAUAGGUAGUUUUUGAUGAAGUUGAAGUCCAAUCAACUUGAAACUUAGUAAACAUGUUCCCAUUGAUAUGAUCUUUCUAAUUUUAAUGCCGAAUUGGAGUUUUUACCCCAUUUUCACGGUCCAUUGAACAUAGGAAAUGAGUGUGGAUGGGGCAUCCGUGUACUGGGGACAGUCACAUGCUUGUUUGUGUUGAAUAAGGAUUUUGUUAACUUUUAAGUAGUUUGCUUCGUUAGAUGUCUUUUUGGUAGUCAGUCACAAUUUCCUGCCUUGCUUUCAUAUACUGGUCCAUUGGGCCGGGUGUAUUAAUAUUUAUCAUAAAUGGUAUGUUUAUAAUCUAUACAUAUUGAUACAUGUCACAAUAAUAAAUAAUUUACUUACUUAUACUACAGUGAUAUGCAUUUAUGAUAAGGCAAUGGUAUUUAGCAUGCAGUUGUCAUCAGUGGCGGAUCCAGAACUUUUCCUAAGGUGUGGGGGGGCAGCUCCAGUCAUGCUUCAAUGAUUCCCUAUAUAAUCCCCCCCCCUGGAUCCGCCUAUGGUCAUAAUGAUCAGCGUUGAUAUGAGAUUACUUCGUCCUUCAUCCCAUUCAUGGCUCAUUUACUUUUAAAAAGUUAAUGCGUUGCCAUUUUAGACAAGCGAGACAUUUCCCUGUGCAUGUACAUGUAACUGUUAUUUAAAGAAAGGCAAUUAAGGGAUUAAAUCAAUUCUGAAAUGUUUAUUCUACAUCUGAAAUUUCAGCUUGCAUUUGGUUGAUAUAAACUAUAAAGUAAAUAACCUAUUUAUGAUCAUUUAUUUAUUCACAAGAUUUACCAACAAAAUGCAGUAGGUUGUCUAAAUAAAUCCGCGGGCCUAGUGUAAAAAAAAAUCGCCAUACGACUCUGAGGGGCGUUUUCCUAAAGGGAAAAUAUACAAACUAACAUUGGGCUUGGUAUUUUUGGUGAUAUUUGAAAGAACUGAAAACUGCAUAGGUAAUUCAUGUAAGAAAUAUGCCCAAAAAAAUUAGUGAUUUUUAUUCGAGAAUAGUUUCAUUCUGCCAGUAUACUUUAUUCGAAGGAUGGAAAUUCCUAGUAUUUUAUUUGUACCAACAAAAACGCUAAUCAGUUAUAUAAUGUACAUUAUUUUUCAGUUUUGACUAUUCCACAACAUAUCAGAGACGAGAUCACUGCAAGACAAGUACUCAGCCUGGUAUGGUUAAUAAGUAAAUUAAUUGAAAGAGAUACGAAAUAAACACCAUGAUACAAAAUGAUCGAAGUAAACAUCAUGAUAAAAAAUGAACGAAAUAAACAUCAAGACAAAAAAUGAAGGAAGUAAACACCAUGAUAAAAAUGAACGAAGUAAACACCAUGAUAAAAAUGAAGGAAGUAAACACCAUAAUAAAAAAUGAAGGAAGUAAACACCAUGAUAAAAAAUGAACGAAGUAAACAUCAUGAUAAAAAAUGAAGGAAGUAAACACCAUGAUAAAAAUGAACGAAGUAAAAACACCAUGAUAAAAAUGAACGAAGUAAACAC
rnacentral:lncRNA from 1 species